rnacentral:rRNA from 1 species
AGAUCAGGUGGGACUCCCCGCCGAAUUUAAGCAUAUUAGUAAGCGGAGGAAAAGAAACUAACGAGGAUUCCCCUAGUAGCUGCGAGCGAAGAGGGAAGAGCCCAGCACUGAAUCCCGAAGGCCUCGCCUUCAGGGAGAUGUGGUGUUUAGGAGUGCCCGAUCAACCCGGGGUCCGCGCACCGCGUUCAAGUCCAUCUUGAACGGGGCCACGGUCCGCAGAGGGUGCCAGGCCUGUAGUCGACCGGUGCCGGCCUCGGGUGGGUUCCUCCUUAGAGUCGGGCUGCUUGAGAGUGCAGCCCUAAGCGGGUGGUAAACUCCAUCUAAGGCUAAAUACAACCACGAGACCGAUAGAGAACAAGUACCGUGAGGGAAAGUUGAAAAGAACUUUGAAGAGAGAGUUCAAGAGUACGUGAAACCGCUCAGGGGUAAACGGAUAAGACCCGAAACCCCGAAAAGGGAGAUUCAGGUCUUCUCGCGGGGUUCGGCCCUCGCUCGGGAGGAUGGCCUCGCCCGGCGCCCGGUUCGCCGGUGCGUCGGGCAGGCUGCCACCGGCGGGGAGCUCCGGCUCCGCGGAGGACCGCACUUCUCCCCCAGUAGGACGUCGCGACCCGCUCUGCGGCGGUCUAACGGCCGGCGGAAAGCCCGUUCGGGAGCCCUCUCCGGAGGGCUUCCCGACCGGAUCCCCGGACUCGUGGCCGUCUGUCGGGGCGGUAUGAAACGACCGUGGCGCUGGGCCGCUCCUCGAGAGCGCCGUCGCCUCCCGCAAGCCCGGGUCGGGCCGUCGGGCCGUGCCCUCGCGGGUACGCUCGGCGCCCGCCCGGACUGUUAGCGGUGAGUGCUCCGGCCGCCGUCCAGCCCGCCCGUCGGCGGCGCUUCAGAUUCGGGCACUUAUCCGACCCGUCUUGAAACACGGACCAAGGAGUCUAGCGUGCGCGCGAGUCAUUGGGUGAAAAACCUAAAGGCGCAAUGAAAGUGUCCAGGGGCCGCCCCGCGGUCCCCUGGGGAGGAUGGGUCUCCGGCCCCCCGGCCGAGGCCCCGCACUCCCGGGGCGUUUCAUUCUCUUCCCAGAGUCGAGACGCACCAGGAGCGCACACGCUGGUACCCGAAAGAUGGUGAACUAUGCCUGGCCAGGACGAAGCCAGGGGAAACCCUGGUGGAGGUCCGAAGCGAUUCUGACGUGCAAAUCGAUCGUCUGAGCUGGGUAUAGGGGCGAAAGACCAAUCGAACCAUCUAGUAGCUGGUUCCCUCUGAAGUUUCCCUCAGGAUAGCUGGCUCUCGUGGAGAGACGAGUCUCAUCCGGUAGAGCGAAUGAUUAGAGGUGAUGGGGUCGAAACGACUUCAACCUAUUCUCAAACUCCCAAUAGAUGAGAGCCCCGGCUUGCUUGAAAGUGAAGCCGCGGGACUCGGAUCAGUGAGACGCCAAGUGGGCCAAUUUUGGUAAGCAGAACUGGCGCUGUGGGAUGAACCAAACGCGGAGUUAAGGCGCCUGAUUCGACGCUCAUCCGAAACCAUGAAAGGCGUUGGUUGCUUAAGACAGCAGGACGGUGGCCAUGGAAGUCGGAAUCCGCUAAGGAGUGUGUAACAACUCACCUGCCGAAGCAACUAGCCCUGAAAAUGGAUGGCGCUGUAGCGUCGUGCCUAUACUCCGCCGUCAACGGCAGAGCGGGCGGCCCCUUCAAGGGGGCGUCGCCGUUACGCCUUGACGAGUAAGAGGGUCGCGGCGGUGAGCGCGGAAGGGUCUGGGCGCGAGCCCGCCUGGAGCCGCCGCCGGUGCAGAUCUUGGUGGUAGUAGCAAAUACUCCAGCGAGGCCCUGGAGGACUGAUGUGGAGAAGGGUUUCUUGUGAACAGCUGUUGCACAAGAGUCAGUCGAUCCUAAGCCCUAGGAGAAAUCCGAAGCGAUGGUCUGCCGUUAUUCUUAUAUAUAUAUUCAUGUCGUAAGCCGUCACGCCCGGGGCUCCGGCCCGGACGGGACCCCCCCGGGGGCCCCGCCGGCCGGCCGGCUCCGGACACGGACGCCGAUCCUANUAUAUCAAAUAGCCGGCACCGUCCGGGCGAAAGGGAAUCCGGUUCCUAUUCCGGAACCCGGCAGCGGAACCGCUCCAAUUCGGGCCCUCUCCGAGGACUCGUCGGGGUGACCCGAAAUGACCCGGAGAAGCCGUAGGGAGACCCGGGGAGAGUUGUCUCUUCUCUAUAAGCGUUCGAGUUCCCUGGAAGCCUCUAGGAGGGAGAUAGGGUUUGGAACGCGAAGAGCACCGCACUUACGGCGGUGUCCGGGUCUUCCCCUCGGACCUUGAAAAUCCGGGCGAGGGCCACGAGGAACACCGCGCCGGCUCGUACCCAUAUCCGCAGCAGGUCUCCAAGGUGAAUAGCCUCUAGUCGAUAGACUAAUGUAGGUAAGGGAAGUCGGCAAACCCGAUCUGUAACUUCGGGACAAAGAUUGGCUCUGAGGAUCGUGGCGUGCCGGGCUUGGUCGGGAAGUGGAGCGGCGCCAACGUGCCG